UAAAGCGGUACGCGAGCUGGGUUUAGAACGUCGUGAGACAGUUCGGUCCCUAUCCGCUGUGCGCGUAGGAGUCUUGAGAAGGGCUGUCCCUAGUACGAGAGGACCGGGACGGACGAACCUCUGGUGUGCCAGUUGUCCUGCCAAGGGCAUGGCUGGUUGGCUACGUUCGGGAGGGAUAACCGCUGAAAGCAUCUAAGCGGGAAGCCUGCUUCGAGAUGAGGACUCCCACCCACUUGAUGGGGUAAGGCUCCCAGUAGACGACUGGGUUGAUAGGCCGGAUCUGGAAGCACGGUAACGUGUGGAGGUGACCGGUACUAAUAGGCCGAGGGCUUGUCCUCAGUUG
rnacentral:rRNA from 1 species